rnacentral:rRNA from 1 species
AGCGAACGCUGGCGGCAGGCCUAACACAUGCAAGUCGAACGGAUCCUUCGGGAUUAGUGGCGGACGGGUGAGUAACACGUGGGAACGUGCCCUUUGGUUCGGAACAACUCAGGGAAACUUGAGCUAAUACCGGAUGUGCCCUUCGGGGGAAAGAUUUAUCGCCAUUGGAGCGGCCCGCGUCUGAUUAGCUAGUUGGUGAGGUAAAGGCUCACCAAGGCGACGAUCAGUAGCUGGUCUGAGAGGAUGAUCAGCCACAUUGGGACUGAGACACGGCCCAAACUCCUACGGGAGGCGGCAGUGGGGGAUCUUGCGCAAUGGGCGAAAGCCUGACGCAGCCAUGCCGCGUGAAUGAUGAAGGUCUUAGGAUUGUAAAAUUCUUUCACCGGGGACGAUAAUGACGGUACCCGGAGAAGAAGCCCCGGCUAACUUCGUGCCAGCCGCCGCGGUAAAAC